AGAGUUUGAUCAUGGCUCAGGAUGAACGCUAGCUACAGGCUUAACACAUGCAAGUCGAGGGGAAACGACAUCGAAAGCUUGCUUUUGACGGGCGUCGACCGGCGCACGGGUGAGUAACGCGUAUCCAACCUGCCCACCACUUGGGGAUAACCUUGCGAAAGUAAGACUAAUACCCAAUGAUAUCUCUAGAAGACAUCUGAAAGAGAUUAAAGAUUUAUCGGUGAUGGAUGGGGAUGCGUCUGAUUAGCUUGUUGGCGGGGUAACGCCACCAAGGCGACGAUCAGUAGGGGUUCUGAGAGGAAGGUCCCCACAUUGGAACUGAGACACGGUCCAAGCUCCUACGGGAGCA
rnacentral:rRNA from 1 species